rnacentral:rRNA from 1 species
AUUGAACGCUGGCGGCAGGCUUAACACAUGCAAGUCGAACGGUAACAGAAAGUAGCUUGCUAUUUUGCUGACGAGUGGCGGACGGGUGAGUAAUGCUUGGGAAUAUGCCUUAUGGUGGGGGACAACAGUUGGAAACGACUGCUAAUACCGCAUAACAUCUCCGGAUCAAAGUGGGGGACCUUCGGGCCUCACGCCAUAAGAGUAGCCCAAGUGGGAUUAGCUAGUUGGUAAGGUAAUGGCUUACCAAGGCGACGAUCCCUAGUUGGUCUUAGAGGAUGACCAGCCACACUGGAACUGAGACACGGUCCAGACUCCUACGGGAGGCAGCAGUGGGGAAUAUUGCACAAUGGGCGCAAGCCUGAUGCAGCCAUGCCGCGUGUGUGAAGAAGGCUUUCGGGUUGUAAAGCACUUUCAGCGAGGAGGAAAGGUUGUACUUUAAUAGAGUGCAGCUGUGACGUUACUCGCAGAAGAAGCACCGGCUAACUCCGUGCCAGCAGCCGCGGUAAUACGGAGGGUGCGAGCGUUAAUCGGAAUUACUGGGCGUAAAGCGCGCGUAGGUGGUUAAUUAAGUCAGAUGUGAAAUCCCAGGGCUCAACCUUGGAACUGCAUUUGAAACUGGUUGACUAGAGUUUUGUAGAGGGUGGUAGAAUUUCAGGUGUAGCGGUGAAAUGCGUAGAGAUCUGAAGGAAUACCAGUGGCGAAGGCGGCCACCUGGACAAAGACUGACACUGAGGCGCGAAGGCGUGGGGAGCAAACGGG